rnacentral:rRNA from 1 species
AGAAUCAACGCUGGCGGCGUGCCUAACACAUGCAAGUCGCACGAGAAAGGGGAGCAAUCCCUGAGUACAGUGGCGCACGGGUGAGUAACACGUGAAUAAUCUACCUCCGAGUGGGGAAUAACUGAGAGAAAUCUUAGCUAAUACCGCAUAACACUUACGAGUCAAAGCAGCAAUGCGCUUGGAGAGGAGUUCGCGGCCGAUUAGUUAGUUGGCGGGGUAAUGGCCCACCAAGACGAUGAUCGGUAUCCGGCCUGAGAGGGCGCACGGACACACUGGAACUGAAACACGGUCCAGACUCCUACGGGAGGCAGCAGUGGGGAAUUUUGCGCAAUGGGGAAACCCUGACGCAGCAACGCCGCGUGAGGAUGAAGCCCUUGGGUGUAAACUCCUUCGAUCGGGAAGAUAAUGACGGUACCGAUAUAAGAGCCCGGCUAACUUCGUGCCAGCAGCCGC